GACGAACGCUGGCGGCGUGCUUAACACAUGCAAGUCGAGCGGAGCAGCGAACGGGUGAGUAACGCGUGAGUAACUGCCCCUCUCCCUGCGAUCACAGUUGGAAACGGCUGCUAAUACCGGAUAGUGGGGGUUGACUCGCGUCCUAUGGGCUUGUUGGUGGGGUAGUGGCCUACCAAUGCGACGACGGGUAGCCGGCCUGUGAGGGCGACCGGCCAAAUUGGGCUGAGAUACGGACCAAAGUCCUACGGGAGGCAGCAGUGGAGAAUGUUGCACAAUGGGGGAAACCCUGAUGCAGCAACGCGCGUGCGGGAUGACGGCCUUCGGGUUGUAAACCGCUUUCAGCCAUGACGCGGUAGUGGCAGAAGAAGCACCGGCUAACUACGUGCCAGCCGCCGCGGUAAUAC
rnacentral:rRNA from 1 species